AACGAACGCUGGCGGCAUGCCUAACACAUGCAAGUCGAACGAAACCUUCGGGUCUAGUGGCGCACGGUUGCGUAACGCGUGGGAACCUUCCCUUAUGUUCGGAAUAACUCCCCGAAAGGGGUGCUAAUACCGGAUAAUGUCUUCGGACCAAAGAUUUAUCGCCUUUGGAUGGGCCCGCGUUGGAUUAGCUAGUUGGUAGGGUAAAAGCCUACCAAGGCGACGAUCCAUAGCUGGUCUGAGAGGAUGAUCAGCCACACUGGGACUGAGACACGGCCCAGACUCCUACGGGAGGCAGGAGUGGGGAAUAUUGGACAAUGGGCGAAAGCCUGAUCCAGCAAUGCCGCGUGAGUGAUGAAGGCCUUAGGGUUGUAAAGCUCUUUUAACCGGGAUGAUAAUGACAGUACCGGGAGAAUAAGCUCCGGCUAACUCCGUG
rnacentral:rRNA from 1 species